rnacentral:rRNA from 1 species
GUGGAUUAGAUACCCUGGUAGUCCACGCCGUAAACGGUGGAUGCUGGAUGUGGGGCCCGUUCCACGGGUUCCGUGUCGGAGCUAACGCGUUAAGCAUCCCGCCUGGGGAGUACGGCCGCAAGGCUAAAACUCAAAGAAAUUGACGGGGGCCCGCACAAGCGGCGGAGCAUGCGGAUUAAUUCGAUGCAACGCGAAGAACCUUACCUGGGCUUGACAUGUUCCCGACGAUCCCAGAGAUGGGGUUUCCCUUCGGGGCGGGUUCACAGGUGGUGCACGGCCGUCGCCAACU